GAUGAACGCUAGCUACAGGCUUAACACAUGCAAGUCGAGGGGCAGCGGGAGCUUAGCUUGCUAAGUUUGCCGGCGACCGGCGCACUGGUGAGUAACACGUAUCCAACCUGGCCCAUACUCGGGUAUAGCCUCUCGAAAGGGAGAUUAAUCCCCGAUGUUGUUGUUUCACCGCAUGGUGUAUCAACCAAAGAGAUUCGGUAUGGGAUGGGGAUGCGUUCCAUUAGGUAGUAGGCGGGGUAACGGCCCACCUAGCCGACGAUGGGUAGGGGUUCUGAGAGGAAGGUCCCCCACACUGGAACUGAGACACGGUCCAGACUCCUACGGGAGGCAGCAGUGAGGAAUAUUGGUCAAUGGCCGAGAGGCUGAACCAGCCAAGUAGCGUGAAGGAUGACUGCCCUAUGGGUUGUAAACUUCUUUUAUAUGGGAAUAAAGUGCUUUACGUGUAGAGUUUUGUAUGUACCAUAUGAAUAAGCAUCGGCUAAUUCCGUGCCAGCAGCCGCUGUAAAAC
rnacentral:rRNA from 1 species